rnacentral:rRNA from 1 species
UCGAACGAGUUCUCGUUGAUGAUCGGUGCUUGCACCGAGAUUCAACAUGGAACGAGUGGCGGACGGGUGAGUAACACGUGGGUAACCUGCCCUUAAGUGGGGGAUAACAUUUGGAAACAGAUGCUAAUACCGCAUAGAUCCAAGAACCGCAUGGUUCUUGGCUGAAAGAUGGCGUAAGCUAUCGCUUUUGGAUGGACCCGCGGCGUAUUAGCUAGUUGGUGAGGUAAUGGCUCACCAAGGCGAUGAUACGUAGCCGAACUGAGAGGUUGAUCGGCCACAUUGGGACUGAGACACGGCCCAAACUCCUACGGGAGGCAGCAGUAGGGAAUCUUCCACAAUGGACGCAAGUCUGAUGGAGCAACGCCGCGUGAGUGAAGAAGGCUUUCGGGUCGUAAAACUCUGUUGUUGGAGAAGAAUGGUCGGCAGAGUAACUGUUGUCGGCGUGACGGUAUCCAACCAGAAAGCCACGGCUAACUACGUGCCAGCAGCCGCGGUAAUACGUAGGUGGCAAGCGUUAUCCGGAUUUAUUGGGCGUAAAGCGAGCGCAGGCGGUUUUUUAAGUCUGAUGUGAAAGCCCUCGGCUUAACCGAGGAAGCGCAUCGGAAACUGGGAAACUUGAGUGCAGAAGAGGACAGUGGAACUCCAUGUGUAGCGGUGAAAUGCGUAGAUAUAUGGAAGAACACCAGUGGCGAAGGCGGCUGUCUGGUCUGUAA